ensembl:lncRNA ZNF496-DT ZNF496 divergent transcript
GCCGCCGCCAUGGAAGACAUGCCUUUCGCCCUCCGCCAUGAUUCUGAGGCCUCCCCAACCAUGCGGAACUGUUGGGUUUCAGCCGAGCAAGUCUGAGGCCCCUUUCCCGCGCCCUCUGGUGGAAAGUGUUCGCUUUUCUGUCCACCCAUGUGAAGGAUUCACCCCGACCCUCCUCAGGUGGCCUUUACUUUGCAGGAGCAAAGCAAGCUCCAGGACUCUACCUCUCAUCAAGGCUGACCAGAAGCAAGAUGAUGGAAGCCAAGAGAGCUCCUCUGCAUGCUCCACUGUCUAAGCUCUGCUCUGCAUCUGCCGUGAUUCUUCUUCCAAACAGAAAACACCGUCUUUCUUUUUGACUACAUCUGUCCUCAGAGAUGGUGCUGAUGGAUCCAUUUAUAAUUUAUGUGAAUUUAAACCUUUGCAAUUUUUACAUGGAAUAAAAGGACCUAUUUUCUGGAAAGAAAAUGCUGAACAAGAGCUGAGAACCUGGGGCAAUCUAAGGCAGGGGUUCCUCCCUAACACCCCUGCUGUCAGAAGCCAGCUGGUUGGCCAUAGAUCACUUCACCUAACACCCAGUGCCCAGUCACAUUUGCCCCCAAAUUGUACAACUCAAGCUUAA